AGGACGAACGCUGGCGGCGUGCUUAACACAUGCAAGUCGAGCGGUAAGGCCCUUCGGGGUACACGAGCGGCGAACGGGUGAGUAACACGUGGGUAAUCUGCCCUGUACUUUGGGAUAAGCCCGGGAAACUGGGUCUAAUACCGGAUAUGACCUUGUCACGCAUGUGGUGGGGUGGAAAGUUCCGGCGGUACAGGAUGGGCCCGCGGCCUAUCAGCUUGUUGGUGGGGUAAUGGCCUACCAAGGCGACGACGGGUAG
rnacentral:rRNA from 1 species